CUCAGAUAUUGUUUUUUUUCUGCCGUCAGAUUUGAACUGAAACAUUGGCUCUUCUUGGGUCUUGAGACUGUAGACAUUUGGACUAGAAUUAUGCUAUUGGCUCUCUUGGGUCUCCAAGUGGCUGACUGCACAUCUUAGGACUUGUUGACUUAUUUAAACAUGUGAGGUAAUUCUCUAUAAUAAAUCUCUUUCCAUAUAUAUUUUUUAUGUAGGAUAUAUAUACAUAUCUAUAUAUCUAUAUAUCUAUAUUUCUAUAUAUCUCCUAUUGUUUCUAUUUCUCUGGAGAACUCUGACUCAUGUGGCAGGUGACCCAAUCUUUUGCAGCCUUGAUUUUGUUAGAUAUAAGGGGGGGAAAUAUUACCCAUUUUUAAGGUUGUUGUAAGGUUAAUGAGAUCAGGAUGACAAAAUAUCUUGCACAAAGUAGGUAUUUAUUAAACGACAACUGUGUUAUUAUAAUGCUUAUUUUUCACAGCACAGAACCUUUCUUAAGGCCCCAAUCUUGAAGGAAACAGUUCUAGUUCAAUUAUUUUCUUCUUUCAACUUUUCUUUUCAACUGCAGGGAGAUAAGGCUUCCUGCAGUUAACUUCCUUUUGAAUUCUGGCAAAGUACUGUUUAUAUUCUACUGUCACCUCCUUCAAAAUUCCAGCCCCCCCCCCGAAAAAAAAUUCCUGGCCAAAAUUGUUUCUUACAAAAUUCUGUAACUCAGCAAAGCAGCUAAUGAUACUCUUGAGUCUCAUUUUCUGUCUCCCCAGGCUCCAACUGCUUUUGACCAUACCACUCAGGAUUAAGGCAUCUGGACUUCCCUGUAUGUGACAGAUGUCCCUUGGGCCUGGACAACAGAAGAAGUUGCCAUGAGAUUUUGGGCCUUCUGGCUUGAGCUCAGGAUCUAGGAAUGUGGUUAGAAGAGGACAAAAAAUAUUGCCUUGAGAAGUCACUCGCUGUGCCAUUGGUUGGCCCAUGACUCAGCAGAGAUCUUUCCCCAAGAGCAUAUUUUACAAUGAAACAAAGGAUGAGACCCCAGAGUACAGAAUGAAUCUACGUGUGUACUGGGAACUGGGAGAUGAGGGCAAACGUGAGUGCAAAGAGAGAAAGAAGAUGGAGGCCCCAUGAUUCUGCUUCCGUGGCAACAGCCAAAGCCAUAUUCUGCCACUUCUACCGUAUCUCCUCUAUUCUCUAGAUGGCGGCUGCUCAGCCAAAGGAAAGAAUUCGAUCUGAGGUUGGAGGAAGAGGAAUGGUAAGUUUUCUUUGGAGCCUGAAUUUGAAGAAAAGUUGAAGCAUGCGAGAAUAAAUGAAGGUUGGGGGCGGUAUUGGUGUAAAAG
rnacentral:lncRNA from 1 species